rnacentral:misc_RNA from 1 species
AAUGAAUGGAAAAAUAAAAAAGAGCUCCUCUCUCUAGUUUUCCUAGAGACAGAAUAUCCUCUCUUUAACUCUUGAUCUAUAGUCUUCUCCGAUCUUCGUCGAGCGUCUCCGGUGGCCCUCUCCUGCCCUUCGGGUAAGGGAAGGAUGGUUUCUCCGACUGGGUGAUGGGUCCCUUCCCUUCCUAGUCUGGUUUAUUCAUAGUUUUGUGAGGUUGUUUUAUUUUUUCAGAUCUUGAGCUUUUCCAGGUGAGGGUGGAAUAGAGAAAAUCUGGUUUAUGGUGCUGUGUUGAUUGCUAUAUUGGGGCGUGGAAAGUUUCUGCUUGGUGGUGCCUUUCUCCAAAGGAACAAGAAUCAAGGAUGGUUUCUCGGGAAUUGAAGAACUGGCGUUAAAAUUUGGUUGGCCAACUCUCCAUGACUAGAUUGAGACUGAAAUGUCAUGGCCCCUGCUUCCUCUUUCUCCUAAGUUGUGUUCCUGUGUUCCCUACCGGAAGUGGCAGGUUUUAUUUGCAAGGUUAGAGUUGUGAUCCUCUUGUUGUGGCUUAUCUUGGUUUGGCAAGUUGAGGCAUUGGCAAAAGAUCUCCUUUCUAGCUUUCAGUGGGUUUUCCAAUCAAGCUUCUGAAAACAACGCUUUUUCUGGUGUUGAUCCUGAGUUCUGCUUGGGCGGUUUUGGUCUAAGGGUUGGCUGGAUGGGACUACAGACUUGUUACUGGGAAUGAUUACUUGGAUUAAGAAAUUUGCUUUCUUUUCCGAUCUCAGAUGUAAUCUUGUGUAUCUUUGCCCAAUGGGCUUUAAUGCAAUGAUAAUAUGCAUUUCAAAAAAAAUGAAUGGCAAAAUGCUUAUAUAAAUUGUUG